AAUAUUGGACAAUGGGGGCAACCCUGAUCCAGCCAUGCCGCGUGUGUGAAGAAGGUCUUUGGAUUAUAAAUCACUUUAAUUUGGGAGGAAGGGCACUAGGCUAAUACCCUGAAGUUUUGACGUUACCAACAGAAUAAGCACCGGUUAACUCUGUGCCAGCAGCCGCAGUAAUACAGAGGGUGCAAGCGUUAGUCGGAAUUACUGGGCGUAAAGCGCGCGUAGGUGGUUCAGUAAGAUGGGUGUGAAAUCCCCGGGCUUAACCUGGGAACUGCUUUCAUAACUGCUGAGCUAGAGUACGGUAGAGGGUAGUGGAAUUUCCUGUGUAGCGGUGAAAUGCGUAGAUAUAGGAAGGAACACCAGUGGAGAAGGCGACUACCUGGACUGAUACUGACACUGAGGUGCGAAAGCGUGGGGAGCAAAC
rnacentral:rRNA from 1 species